UACGUAGGGUGCGAGCGUUAAUCGGAAUUACUGGGCGUAAAGCGUGCGCAGGCGGUUUUGUAAGCCAGAUGUGAAAUCCCCGGGCUUAACCUGGGGAACUGCAUUUGGGACUGCAAGGCUUGAGUGCGGCAGAGGAGACUGGAAUUCCUGGUGUAGCAGUGAAAUGCGUAGAUAUCAGGAGGAAUACCGAUGGCGAAGGCAGCCCCCCUGGGAUAACACUGACGCUCAUGCACGAAAGCGUGGGGAGCAAACGGG
rnacentral:rRNA from 1 species